rnacentral:lncRNA from 1 species
AUGGCUGUUGGGUCACUGCUUGUGGUAUGUGGGUGCCUACAGAGGAGUCCGUCUCCCCUGGUCACAGGUGUCUGCAGUGAGAAGAUGAAGACGGCAUCACUUGCUCUACGGCCAGGUGGAGGGAAUGACCCGACCACCUGUUGCCGAGUGCUGGGCCAACCAGGCGUGCAACUCCCCUGCCCAACCCUCUGCCCCAUUAGCCGCUCGUCUCCCCAUCCCUUCAUUGUGGUGCACUGAGCCUUGCACUCAGAAGCUGUCAGGGACGACGAUGAAUAAACACAUCGUGGUCGUAACCGGAAAUGGGAGCUGAUGCGGGAGUACUUGGGCGUCAAAGCAGGUGAUGCGAACACGGAACAGAAAGCCAGCAAGCAGGAAGCAGGCAGCGACUCCACUGAUGUGCCCUUGAAACCUGCUCCCCUGCACAAACUUUCUGCAUCUCUGCGGCUGGACAAUAGUAUACGGAGUAAAUGAAUAUGGAGCACCACCUGCUCGUCCUCCCUGGCCUCGCGAUCAAAAACACAAGGCAUGAAACACAAAAACCUGUCUGGGAAGAGUUUAUUUUUGACCUUGAAAGAUGUGGUUUGGGAAGGAUGAGAGAGAAGGAGUGGUCUGUUGGUUUGGAGAGUGUUGGAAGCCCCCUUAGCCCCACCACAAGCCAUGGAAGAAGGUCCUCUUAAGUCACUGGCAAGGAGCAGGGGGACAUGGGAGGAGAGAUGGAUUCUGGUCACCACCCGGCUUCCACACCCCUUGUGUUGUAGGACCUUGUUCUUUUAGUCUCCGCUUCGUGUGCUGGAGAAAAGAAACGUUGUGUCAGGUAGGAGAGGAUAAAGAAAGGUUAUCUUAUGGACUUCGCAGGGUUUUUGUCUCAAGCAAGAUGUCCCACGUGGAAGGGCUUUGGGAACUGGGUUAUGCUGUAGCAGCCAGUCAUUAAUCAUGAGUUGGAAGGAGGGCGGGCUCAGGUGACAGGUGGGAACUCGACACAGGUGCAAGGGAUGCUCACAGGAAGGGCACUGAAGAGGCAGAUCUCCGUCCCAGGGGCCUGUGUGUGUGUGUGUAUGGGGGCUCUCAGUCCUGUGCUCCUUGCCCACAGCUUCCCUUACCCCUCAAAGCACUGGCAGUGAAAGGUAGAACAUUCUCUUGAAAGUUACCUUUCGUUACUAUUUUUAAUAUUGUUAGCAUUGCAAUUCUAAUAAAUACUGUGUAACCUCCCCAAAGCAGUAUCAGACCCCGCACUCAGGGUCAUUCUGCAAUAUUACCAGAACCAAUGACUUUGGAAUAAAAACAUUAAUUUAAAGGCCACUAGAGGACCAAGGUGACCAUGGGUGAUGCAAAACCAAAAAACAAAUACGUUUAUCUUUACACCAAACUGUUUAG